GAUGAACGCUGGCGGCAUGCCUAAUACAUGCAAGUCGGGCGAACGGACGAGAAUCUUGCUUCGCUGAUGUUAGCAACGGACGAGUAAGUAACACGGGGAGAACCUACCUAUAAGACUGGGAUAACUUCUGGAAACCGGAGCUAAGACCGGAUGAUGUUUUGAGCCGCAUGGGUCAAAAGUGAAAGACGAUCUUGCUGGCACUUAUAUAGGUAUCCGCGCUGCAUUAGCUAGUUGGUAAGGUAACGGCUUACCAAGGCAACGAGUCAUAGCCGACCUGAGAGGGUGAUAGGAGCUACUGGAACUGAGACACGGUCCAGACUCCUACGGGAGGCAGCAGUAGGGACUCUUCCGAAACGGGCGAAAGCAUGACGGAGCAACGCCGGGUGAGUGAUGAAGGUAUUCGGACCGUAAAACUAUGUUCUUAGGGAAGAACAUAUGUGUAAGUAACUGUGCAAACCUUGACGGUACCUAAUCAGAAAGCAACGGCUAACUCCGUG
rnacentral:rRNA from 1 species